AAGUCGUAACAAGGUAACCGUAGGUGAACCUGCGGUUGGAUCAUUAACAAAUUAUAGAGAGGUUGCUCAAAAGGUGGCCUUUUCUUAACAUUUUGUGAACUGUUUAUUGUCUCUGGUGGGUUAAAACGUGGGAAACCAUGGGAUUAAACUCUACCCACCAAAUUUGAACCUAUAGAAAUAUUUGUCUUUAAUAAAAAGUUAUAAUUUAAAACAACUUUUGGCAACGGAUCUCUAGGCUCUC
rnacentral:misc_RNA from 1 species